rnacentral:lncRNA from 1 species
GGCUUCAACUUCCACUUCCACCUUUUGUUGUUGCUCUUUUUCACUUUUUAAAUAAUUCUCUAGUUUCUGUAGCACCGAACUCCUUUAGAUUUCUGAUAGGAUUUCUUUUCCUCUGUCAUUUAGCUGAAGUCCAACCAACUCUUCUCUUAUUUAGAAACAUUUAUACCUUUAAGCAUCACCCUUCGCCAAAGGACUAGUGGUACUUCUCCCCCC